rnacentral:rRNA from 1 species
CUCAAAGAUUAAGCCAUGCAAGUGAAGUAUAAAUUGAUAUUACAAUGAAACUGCGAACGGCUCAUUAAAUCAGUUAUAGUUUAUUUGAUACUUUUUGAGAAUUUAUUCUCAGCUACAUGGAUAACUGUAGUAACCUAGAGCUAAUACAUGCAAAAACAAUCAAACUUUUGAGGAAUGAUUGGCACUUAUUAGAUAACAAACCAAUACAUUUUAGGAUGUUUUAAAGGUGAAUCAUAAUAACUGAACCAAUUCGCAUAACUUUUUUUUAAUGUUGGCGAAAAAUCAUUCAAAUUUCUGCCCUAUCAACUAGAUGUUAGUAUAUUGGACUAACAUGGUUUUAACGGGUAACGGGGAAUUAGGGUUCGAUUCCGGAGAAGGAGCAUGAGAAACGGCUACUACUUCUAAGGAAAGCAGCAGGCGCGCAAAUUAUUCAAUGGAAACAAAUUUCCGAAAUAGUGACAAAAAAUAACAAUACAUUGCAUAAUUAUGUGAUGUAAUUGGAAUGAGAACAAUUUAAAUACCUUAACGAGUAACAAUUGGAGGGCAAGUCUGGUGCCAGCAGCCGCGGUAAUUCCAGCUCCAAUAGCGUAUAUUAAUGUUGUUGCAGUUAAAAAGCUCGUAGUUGAAAAUUGAAUAUUUAAAAAUAAGUUUGGUCUACUAUAAUUUACUUAGUAUGACUACUUAUUUUAUAUUCUUCCUACUAGAUACUCGAUAUUGUUCUUAGUUGAAUGAUAUAGUAUUCUUUCGGGAAUACCAAUACAGAAAUGUAUUGGAGUUCUAGUUCAUUUACUUUGAGAAAAUUAGAGUGUUUAAAGCAGCCUCUUUGGGCUCUGCAUACAUUAGCAUGGGAUAAUAAAAUAGGAUUUAAUCUAUAUAUUUGUUGGUUCGAAUAGAUUAAAUAAUGAUUAAUAGGAACAGUUGGGGGUAUUUAUAUUGGAUGGUUAGCGGUGAAAUGCAUUGAUCCAUUCAAGAUAAACUAAAGCGAAAGCAUCUAUCAAGGAUGUUUUCAUUAAUCAAGAACGAAAGUUAAGGGAUCGAAGAUGAUUAGAUACCGUCGUAGUCUUAACUAUAAACUAUGCCGACCAGGGAUAUGAGUUGUUAUGAAUAAUCUUUAUGGGUUAUUCAAUUUCCUCUUAUGAACCUUGUGAGAAAUCAUAAGUUUUUGGGUUUUGGGGGGAGUAUGGUCGCAAGGCUGAAACUUAAAGGAAUUGACGGAGGGGCACCACCAGGAGUGGAGCGUGCGGCUUAAUUUGACUCAACACGGGAAAACUUACCAGGUCCAGACAUUAGAAGGAUUGACAGAUUGAUAGCUCUUUCAUGAUUUAAUGGGUGGUGGUGCAUGGCCGUUCUUAGUUGGUGGAGUGAUUUGUCUGGUUAAUUCCGAUAACGAACGAGACCUUUACCAUACUAAAUAGUUUGAUUUAUUCAUUUAUGAAUAGAUUUAUUUAUUAAAUAAAACUUCUUAGAGGGACUAUUGGUUUUCAAACCAAAGGGAGUAAAGGCAAUAACAGGUCUGUGAUGCCCUUAGAUGUUCUGGGCUGCACGCGCGCUACAAUGAUGAACUCAACGAGUUUAUACUAUUUUUAAUAGUAAAUUGCUGUAUUGGAAAAUAUGGCUAAUCUUAAACGUUCAUCGUGCUUGGGAUAGAUGAUUGAAAUUAUUUAUCUUGAACCAGGAAUUCCUAGUAAUCGUAUAUCAUCAGUGUGCGAUGAUUACGUCCCUGCCCCUGUACACACCGCCCGUCGCUGCUACCGAUUGGAUGAUCCGGUGAAAUCUUCGGAUAAUAGCAAAUACCUUACUUUUGUAAGGAUUGUUGUUAGAAGUUGAUUAAACCUUAUCAUCUAGAGGAAGCAAAAGUCGUAACAAGGUUCCGUAGGUGAAUCCUGCAGAAGAUCA